GGGAAAUGGAUACACCUCGUUCCUCAGCGUCGCCCUCAGCGUGUGUGUGUUGAGGAGGGAUGUUAGCCAAAGUGCACUCAUCCCCUAUCAGCGACUUGAUGGGAGAAAGAUCCUCUUUCACUCGCGCGCACACCACAACCUAUCAACACUUUGUACGGAGCGCGCUGACACGGAGGCCCGGCACAUACAGGACGAUGAAAAGCAACGGUCAACAACCACAUCUGUGCGGAGGUGAAGAAAUACAGAUUGAGUGGCUCUACGAGUGAAAUGCGACAGAGGAAACGAAGCUGCCGCCGCCGGGCAGCCAUUCAUAAUCAAGAUCAUUCUGCAUAGAAGAAGAAGAAGAGGGAGAAGAAGAAAAAAAGAGGUCUGUUGUGGCAGGGGGAAAAACAUUUUAUUCUUUCUUCUUUUGCCCUUUUUUUCCCUCCUUCUGCCAUUUGGAUUAAAAGCGUGUGUUCAGUAAUGUGCUGCAGAAGGAUUUAUGGGAAGAAAUUGGCUUUGGGAUUCAGUUUUUACACUGACAGCGUGUACAUACACAUUAAAGGUAUCGAGUGUCUGGAAAGUGAAAAAGAAAAAAAAAAGCAUGAUAUUACAAAAAAACUAUACGGAUCAAAUACCAGAAAACGAUGCCAUACCAUCUUGAUGCAGUUCCGCAAAUUAAGAGCCAUAUCUGAGUGACCCCUUUAUAAGGAAGACGAGUAUCUGGUACGAGUGUCUCGUUUAAGCCUUUAGAAGGCUUUUGUCAAGGCGUUGCAUGCGAGAUCAAGUCGAGUUAAGUUUGGGAGUAAGGCCACGCGUCAACCACACCUACAACCACCUGUGAGGUCUGCACAUAGAUGAUUAACCCAUCCUCUCCCGCUCGUGCCCCAGGAGUCACCUCUUGUUCACAUCCAUCCGCCCUCAACCUUUCAAAAAACCUGCCUCACAUGAUCAUUAAACUUUUACGUCGUGAUCUCUGCUCGUCCAAUGCUUUCAUUGUACCAUUUCUGGAAAUUUGGGUUGGCUAUACACUGUUGCUGUGCAGCCAAGACCUGCCCCUCAUCCCAUAGAUUGCUCAGUAAAGAUGAGAUCUUGGCACGGUAAGAAAAAUCACUGAGAUAAAAGCAAUAAAACUGCAAUAAAAAAAAAAACUGCUGUGAUGUCCCUGGAACCAUUUGGAGACCAAACAUCCCUUGACUUGUGUGUUUGUGUUAUCAAGCCAAGUCAAGUCAAGUCACGUCAGGUUUGUGUACGCGGCCUAAAAUUACCAAUAUAUCACAAAAGGGU